GCUAAUACAUGCGCACAUGCCUCUUCCCUCGUGGAAGGGUAGUGUUUAUUAGAUACAGAACCAACCCACCUUCGGGUGGUCCUCAGGUGAUUCAUAGUAACCGAACGGAUCGCAUUAUGGCCUUUUGGUCGGCGAUGGAUCAUUCAAGUUUCUGACCUAUCAGCUUUCGACGGUACUGUAUUGGACUACCGUGGCAGUGACGGGUAACGGGGAAUUAGGGUUCGAUUCCGGAGAGGGAGCCUGAGAAACGGCUACCACAUCUAAGGAAGGCAGCAGGCGCGCAAAUUACCCAAUCCUGACUCAGGGAGGUAGUGACAAGAAAUAACAACACUGGAAAUUAUAUUUCUAGUGAUUGGAAUGAUGGGAAUCCAAACCCCUUUCAGAGUAACAAUUGGAGGGCAAGUCUGGUGCCAGCAGCCGCGGUAAUUCCAGCUCCAAUAGCGUAUAUUAAAGUUGUUGCAGUUAAAAAGCUCGUAGUUGGAUAUCUGCUGGAAGCAGCCAGUCCGCCCUUUGUGGGUGUGCACUUGGUGAAUUCUGGCAUCCUCCUGAUUGGUGUUAUCAUCACUUCAUUGUGUUGAUGGCAGCUGUCAGGACCGUUACUUUGAGAAAAUUAGAGUGUUUCAAGCAGGCUUGUUGCCUUGAAUACUGCAGCAUGGAAUAACAAGAUAGGAUUUCGGUUCUAUUUUGUUGGUUUCUAGGACUGAAGUAAUGAUUAAUAGGGACAGUUGGGGGCAUUCGUAUUUAACUGUCAGAGGUGAAAUUCUUAGAUUUGUUAAAGACGAA
rnacentral:rRNA from 1 species